UACGUAGGGUGCGAGCGUUAAUCGGAAUUACUGGGCGUAAAGCGUGCGCAGGCGGCGCGUUAAGACAGGUGUGAAAGCCCCGAGCUUAACUUGGGAACUGCCAUUGAUACUAUUGAUCUUGAAUACCGUGGAGGUCAGCGGAAUAUGUCAUGUAGCGGUGAAAUGCUUAGAUAUGACAUAGAACACCAAUUGCGAAGGCAGCUGGCUACGCGAAUAUUGACACUGAUGCACGAAAGCGUGGGGAUCAAACAGG
rnacentral:rRNA from 1 species